UGAGGAAUAUUGGUCAAUGGACGCAAGUCUGAACCAGCCAUGCCGCGUGCAGGAUGACGGCUCUAUGAGUUGUAAACUGCUUUUGUACGAGGGUAAACUCGGAUACGUGUAUCCGACUGAAAGUAUCGUACGAAUAAGGAUCGGCUAACUCCGUGCCAGCAGCCGCGGUAAUACGGAGGAUCCGAGCGUUAUCCGGAUUUAUUGGGUUUAAAGGGUGCGUAGGCUGUUCGGUAAGUUAUAGGUGAAAUCUCGACGCUCAACGUUGAAACUGCCUUUAAUACUGCCGAGCUAGAGUACAGUUGCUGUGGGCGGAAUGAGUAGUGUAGCGGUGAAAUGCUUAGAUAUUACUCGGAACACCGAUUGCGAAGGCAGCUCACAAAGCUGUUACUGACGCUGAGGCACGAAAGCGUGGGGAGCAAACAGGAUUAGAUACCCGUGUAGUCC
rnacentral:rRNA from 1 species